UAGAAAUUAGUUAAAAUUAUAACAUGUAUUUGUCAUAUAUAAAUUAUCUUUUCCUUUCGAUAUUUCUAA
rnacentral:tRNA from 1 species